rfam:Stegodyphus mimosarum contig86993, whole genome shotgun sequence.
GUCUUCGUGGUGUAGUGGUCAGCACACUCUACGCGUAACCGAGAGGUACGUGGUUCAAAUCCCGGCGAAGGCU